rnacentral:rRNA from 1 species
GAUGAACGCUAGCGGCAGGCUUAACACAUGCAAGUCGUGGGGCAGCGCGGACUUCGGUCUGGCGGCGACCGGCAAACGGGUGCGGAACACGUACGCAACCUCCCUCAGAGCGGGGAAUAGCCUCUCGAAAGAGAGAUUAAUACCCCAUAGUAUCUUGAAGACACAUGUCUAUGAGAUUAAAGCUUCGGCACUUUGAGAUGGGCGUGCGGCUGAUUAGGUAGUUGGUAGGUAACGGCCUACCAAGCCGACGAUCAGUAGCUGAUGUGAGAGCAUGAUCAGCCACACGGGCACUGAGACACGGGCCCGAUCCUACGGGAGGCAGCAGUGAGGAAUAUUGGUCAAUGGAGGAAACUCUGAACCAGCCAUGCCGCGUGGAGGAUGAAGGUCCUCUGGAUUGUAAACUCCGUUUUAUAAAGAGAAACCCCAUUUUUCAAAUGGUGACGGUACUUUAUGAAUAAGCACCGGUAACUCCGUGCCAGCAGCCAC